rnacentral:rRNA from 1 species
UACGUAGGUGGCAAGCGUUGUCCGGAUUUAUUGGGUUUAAAGGGUGCGUAGGCGGCUUUGUAAGUCAGUGGUGAAAUACGGUAGCUCAACUAUCGAGGUGCCAUUGAUACUGCGGAGCUUGAGUACAGAUGAGGUAGGCGGAAUUGACGGUGUAGCGGUGAAAUGCUUAGAUAUCGUGAAGAACACCUAUAGCGAAGGCAGCUUACUAGGCUGUAACUGACGCUGAGGCACGAAAGUGUGGGGAUCAAACAGG